ACGUGAUCGAUGUACACUCAAAAUAAUCCACAUGUCAAGGCUACGUGAAAAUUCACGUAGAUCCCUGUAAAAUGAACUUUUCCUCAAUUUACCUGACAACGGUAACAAUCAUCUAACCGUUGGUAAGGAUGAAAUGAGACUUCAGUAAUAUUUACUGUUAAUGAUCAUCACUCCUACGUGAAAAUCACGUACCCCACUUAGAUUCAUUUCGAUAGGUAGUUCAUUCUGUGUUGUGGUUUGAUAUUUGACAUUUCAUAUCACGUUCAUCAUUUGUUGUGCUCGAGAUGGUGAAGAUGAGGUCAGUUGUUCCUGAAAGAAUUUCUCAUUUUGAAGUAUGGAGGCGAAUUGCAAAUCAAAUCAGCAUCAGAUUUUUGAGCCCGAAGAGUUUUUGCGGCACUUGAUUGAUUUGUUUCAUUCUACCCAAAGCGAGCUGUGUAAAUCUGGAUCUGCGGACAACCUCGGUACCAAGUUGUAUACCCGUUAAACAUCUACUGAACAAAGCACCACUAUCCAGCGAAGCACCUAGUAACUCGGUCGGAACUACAAUGCCAUCGAUUUAAUAUAAUAAAACACUUUUCUUCAGAUAGUUGAACCUUUUUUGAGUUAAAUAAACCUUAUGAAAAUCAAAA